rnacentral:rRNA from 1 species
GGAAUCUUCCGCAAUGGACGAAAGUCUGACGGAGCGACGCCGCGUGAGCGAAGAAGGCCUUCGGGUCGUAAAGCUCUGUUGUGAGGGACGAAGGAGCGCCGUUUGAAUAAGGCGGCGCGGUGACGGUACCUAACCAGACAGCCACGGCUAACUACGUGCCAGCAGCCGCGGUAAUACGUAGGUGGCAAGCGUUAUCCGGAAUUAUUGGGCGUAAAGCGCGCGCAGGCGGUCCUUUAAGUCUGAUGUGAAAGCCCACGGCUCAACCGUGGAGGGUCAUUGGAAACUGGGGGACUUGAGUGCAGAAGAGAAGAGCGGAAUUCCACGUGUAGCGGUGAAAUGCGUAGAGAUGUGGAGGAACACCAGUGGCGAAGGCGGCUCUUUGGUCUGUAACUGACGCUGAGGCGCGAAAGCGUGGGGAGCGAA